rnacentral:rRNA from 1 species
AGGGCACCACCAGGAGUGGAGCCUGCGGCUUAAUUUGACUCAACACGGGAAAACUCACCCGGCCCGGACACUGGAAGGAUUGACAGAUUGAGAGCUCUUUCUUGAUUCAGUGGGUGGUGGUGCAUGGCCGUUCUUAGUUGGUGGAGUGAUUUGUCUGGUUAAUUCCGAUAACGAACGAGACUCUAGCCUACUAAAUAGAUCGUCGGCUUACAAACGCCGGCGAGACUUCUUAGAGGGACAGGCGGUGAUUCAACCGCACGAAACAGAGCAAUAACAGGUCUGUGAUGCCCUUAGAUGUCCGGGGCCGCACGCGCGCUACACUGAGGUGAUCAGCGUGCUUUUUCAACCUACUCUGUCAAGAGUGGGGAACCCAAUGAACCUUCUUCGUGAUUGGGAUAGGGGAUUGUAAUUAUUCCCCUUGAACGAGGAAUUCCCAGUAAGCGCGAGUCAUAAGCUCGCGUUGAUUACGUCCCUGCCCUUUGUACACACCGCCCGUCGCUACUACCGAUUGAAUGUUUU